rnacentral:rRNA from 1 species
UCCAACCAGAAAGCCACGGCUAACUACGUGCCAGCAGCCGCGGUAAUACGUAGGUGGCAAGCGUUGUCCGGAUUUAUUGGGCGUAAAGCGAGCGCAGGCGGUUUUUUAGGUCUGAUGUGAAAGCCUUCGGCUUAACCGGAGAAGUGCAUCGGAAACCGGGAGACUUGAGUGCAGAAGAGGACAGUGGAACUCCAUGUGUAGCGGUGAAAUGCGUAGAUAUAUGGAAGAACACCAGUGGCGAAGGCGGCUGUCUGGUCUGUAACUGACGCUGAGGCUCGAAAGCAUGGGUAGCGAACAGGAUUAGAUACCCUGGUAGUCCAUGCCGUAAACGAUGAGUGCUAAGUGUUGGAGGGUUUCCGCCCUUCAGUGCUGCAGCUAACGCAUUAAGCACUCCGCCUGGGGAGUACGACCGCAAGGUUGAAACUCAAAGGAAUUGACGGGGGCCCGCACAAGCGGUGGAGCAUGUGGUUUAAUUCGAUGCUACGCGAAGAACCUUACCAGGUCUUGACAUCUUCUGCCAACCUAAGAGAUUAGGCGUUCCCUUCGGGGACAGAAUGACAGGUGGUGCAUGGUUGUCGUCAGCUCGUGUCGUGAGAUGUUGGGUUAAGUCCCGCAACGAGCGCAACCCUUAUUGUUAGUUGCCAGCAUUCAGUUGGGCACUCUAGCAAGACUGCCGGUGACAAACCGGAGGAAGGUGGGGAUGACGUCAAAUCAUCAUGCCCCUUAUGACCUGGGCUACACACGUGCUACAAUGGACGGUACAACGAGUCGCGAAACCGCGAGGUCAAGCUAAUCUCUUAAAGCCGUUCUCAGUUCGGAUUGUAGGCUGCAACUCGCCUACAUGAAGUUGGAAUCGCUAGUAAUCGUGGAUCAGCAUGCCACGGUGAAUACGUUCCCGGGCCUUGUACACACCGCCCGUCACACCAUGAGAGUUUGUAACACCCAAAGCCGGUGAGGUAACCUUCGGGGACCAGCCGUCUAAGGUGGGACAGAUGAUUAGGGUGAAGUCGUAACAAGGUAGCCGUAGGAGAACCUGCGGCUGGAUCACCUCCUUUCUAA